ACGUGGGUAACCUGCCCUCAAGUGGGGGAUAACAUUUGGAAACAGAUGCUAAUACCGCAUAGAUCCAAGAACCGCAUGGUUCUUGGCUGAAAGAUGGCGUAAGCUAUCGCUUUUGGAUGGACCCGCGGCGUAUUAGCUAGUUGGUGAGGUAAUGGCUCACCAAGGCGAUGAUACGUAGCCGAACUGAGAGGUUGAUCGGCCACAUUGGGACUGAGACACGGCCCAAACUCCUACGGGAGGCAGCAGUAGGGAAUCUUCCACAAUGGACGCAAGUCUGAUGGAGCAACGCCGCGUGAGUGAAGAAGGUUUUCGGAUCGUAAAGCUCUGUUGUUGGUGAAGAAGGAUAGAGGUAGUAACUGGCCUUUAUUUGACGGUAAUCAACCAGAAAGUCACGGCUAACUACGUGCCAGCAGCCGCGGUAAUACGUAGGUGGCAAGCGUUGUCCGGAUUUAUUGGGCGUAAAGCGAGCGCAGGCGGAAAAAUAAGUCUAAUGUGAAAGCCCUCGGCUUAACCGAGGAACUGCAUCGGAAACUGUUUUUCUUGAGUGCAGAAGAGGAGAGUGGAACUCCAUGUGUAGCGGUGGAAUGCGUAGAUAUAUGGAAGAACACCAGUGGCGAAGGCGGCUCUCUGGUCUGCAACUGACGCUGAGGCUCGAAAGCAUGGGUAGCGAACAGGAUUAGAUACCCUGGUAGUCCAUGCCGUAAACGAUGAGUGCUAAGUGUUG
rnacentral:rRNA from 1 species